rnacentral:rRNA from 1 species
ACAAUACCGCAUACGCUCGCAAGAGCAAAGCCGGAAACGGCGCCCGAGGAUGAGCCUGCGCUCGAUUAGUUGGUUGGUGGGGUAAUGGCCUACCAAGGCGACGAUCGGUAGCUGGUCUGAGAGGACGAUCAGCCACACUGGGAUUGAGAACGGACCAGACUCCUACGGGGGGCAGCAGUGAGGAAUUUUCGGCAAUGGGGGCAACCCUGACCGAGCAACGCCGCGUGCAGGAUGAAGUAUUUCGGAUCGUAAACUGCUUUUCUUGGGGACGAGAGUGGACGGUACCCAAGGAAUCAGCCCCGGCUAACUACGUGCCAGCAGCCGCGGUAAUACGAAGGGGGCUAGACGUUGCUCGGAUUGACUGGGCGUAAAGGGCGCGUAGGCGGUUUGCACAGUCAGACGUGAAAUUCCUGGGCUCAACCUGGGGUCUGCGUUUGAUACGUGUAGACUUGAGUAAGGAAGAGGGUCGUGGAAUUCCCAGUGUAGAGGUGAAAUUCGUAGAUAUUGGGAAGAACACCGGUGGCGAAGGCGGCGACCUGGUCCGAUACUGACGCUGAGGCGCGAAAGCGUGGGGAGCAAACA